rnacentral:lncRNA from 1 species
UUGGACAGUACUGGAAAUGAACCCAGGACCUUGCACAUAAUAGGUAAGUACACUACCACAGAGUUACAUCUACAGCCCAUGCUUGCCUUGAACUUGCUAUCCUCCUGCCUCAGCUUCCAGGACAGCUAAUAUUAUAGGCAUGUGCCACCAUGCCUAGCUCUCAUUUUUUUUAAACCAAUGAGUUACUUUCAGGCAUACAUUCAAGUUUCCAUUUUUUUUCCUUCCUCCCUCAUUUAAUGACUUCUAACUUAACUGCAUGGUGGUCAGCGAAUGUGGCCUAUUUAACAUCAUUUGAAAUUUGUUAGAAUUUUACUAUCUGAAUUUAAAUGUGGCAAUAUGGUUUGCAUAUGAGGUGUCUCCAAAGGCUCCUAACUGAAACUUAAUCAGGGAAUUGAUCCAUUUGAUGGAUUAAUAAUUUGAAUGAACUACUGGGUGAUAACUAUAGAUAGGGCAUGACUGAACUGGGGGUUUGCCUUAGGAAUUCUAUAUUUUGUCCCUGGCUCCUCCUGUUCUGCCUCCUGGCUCUCCCGCAGUGGAGCACCUUCCCUUUGCCAUAUUCUUCUGCCAUGAUGUUCAGCCAUCAUCUUAGGCACAAAGUGAUGGAGCCAGUGAAUCAUGAACUGAAUCUCUGACAUUAUGGGCUCCAAAUAAACUUUUCCUCCUCUAAGUUGGUCUUGUCUGCUGUUUUGGUCACAGUGACAAAAACUUAAUACAUGUGGUUAAUUUAUAUAAACAUUCCACAUGUGAAUCAGAAGGACAUGAAUUCUCUGUUGAGUGUAACACUUAUAUACGUCAAAGUUCAACUUAAAUAUGUUGUUCAUAUUUUCUGAGUUUUCUUUUUUCUUUUUUUGGUACUGAGGAUUAAACUCAAGGGUGCUUAGCCUUUUUUUUUUUUUUUUUUUUUUGGGGGGGGGGGUGUACCAGGAUUGAACUCAGCAGCAAUAGGCCACUGAACCACAUCCCCGGCCCUAUUUUGAAUUUUAUUUACAGUAUCAGGGUCUCACUGAGUUGCUUAGCACCUUCCUUUUGCUGAGGCUGGCUUUGAACUUGUGAUCCUCUUGAGUUGCUGGGAUUUCAAGUGUGUGCCAUGGCACCCAGCUGCCCUUUUUUUUUUUUAUUAUUUUGAGACAAGGUCUUGUUAAGUAGCUUAAGGUCUUGGUAAGUUGCUGAGGCUGGCUUUUUGACUUUGUGAUCCCUCUUUCUCAGCCUCCCAAACUGCUGGGAUUAUAGAUACAUGCCACUGGGCCUGGCUAUUUUCUGAUUCUUGUUACAAAAUCUGUUAUUUCAAGGUGUGUUAAAAUUUCUACUACAGUGGUAAAUUUAUCAAUUUCUCCUUGUGGUUCUGUCAAAUUUAGCUUUUUAAUUUUUUGAGACAUAUAAUUUGGUAUAUGUAUGUUUAGAAUUCUAAGAGCCCUGUGUCCUCAACUUUUCAUCAAUUUAGUAACUUUUGUUUUCUUUUAGUUUGUCUAAUGUUAACAUAACUACAAAUACUGUUAUAUUAGCUUGACAUCUUUUUCUAUCCUUUCAUUCUCUUUGUGUUCUUGGAUUUUUUUUCCUUCUUUUGUAGAGCUCGGGAUCAAACCUAGGACCUUAUACAUGCUAAGCAAGCACUCUACCACUGAGCUAAACCUUCAGCUCCAAUGUUCUUGUUUUUAAAAAUAUGUCAUAUAUCUCAGAUAUUUGAUGUCACCUGCUGUGAGAAUAAUGCAAUGGUGCAGCACUCUCCAGUAGUGUUUGGCAGGCUGAUGAUUCUGUAGAGGAGGCAGAGGCCCCAGAUGCUGUCAGCCUUGAGCUCAGCAGACACAGCAUCCUUUACUAUCUCCACGGGUGUAAGUGCUCCUGGGACAGCUUAGAGUCCUGUGGCCUGCUUUCCAACCAAUUCUUGGCUGAGAAUCCUCAAAAAAUAAUCACUCUCCAAGAGCACAGAGCAUCCUGAGGUGGGGCCAGUCCUUCACUGAAGUCCUGCAACUUAGGCUGGAGUCACAGGCUGCCUCCAGGAAGGAUAGACUCUAUGGAAGGAGGCUGACUGACACCCAAAUCCACAGCCUCUCACCUGGGCACAACCGCCAAGUCCCAAGGCUUCUGUCUGCAGAGACCCUUCUGAGCAUCAGCUUACCAUGGUCCCCAGAGCUACUAUUGCUAUUGGAGGUGAAUUCAAUACACUUUGGGCCAGAUGACCUAAGGCUGCCUUAGUCACCUUCCUUAGACACUUGGGAGACCUGAGAUUUGCUGAGACCCUCUGAUAGAUGAUCCUGUGUGAAUGCAUGAUGUUACAUUAAAACCACUGUAUUUCCUCAAAUUUGAUGGAAGUUUUGCCCUCAGUAAGCUUUAUGUAUUAUUUCUUUUACCUUCUCAAAUUGCCCAAAAAUGCAAAAAAAUUUUUUAAAAAGUUGCAUAAAUAGCAUAAAGCUGAAUUUUAUUUUCUUGUCUAUUUUACAUUGUUUUACACUGAAGGGUUUAUAUUUACUGUAAUUACUGAACUAUUUACACUUAUUUUUACCCUAUUAUUUUGUGAUUUCUAUUUGUUUUUCUACCUUCAUAUUGUACAUUUUUUUGCUAUUUUUAUUCUACUUUCUUCCACUAUUAAUUUGAAAAUUAUGUACUCUUUUAGUAAUUACCCUAUUAUGUUUUAAGCUUCACAUUUAUUUAUUUUUUUGUGUGUAUGGUACUGGGGUUGAAUCCAGGGCCUUGUGCAAGCACUCUACCAACUGAGCUAUAUCCCCAUUAAGCUUUACAUUUAAAAUAAUAAAGAUUAAUAAAGAUUAAAGUUAACAUAUUUUCCCUCAUCCUAAUUAAUACAAAUAGCUUGGAAAACUUCAAUGUCCUAUAUCCUACUUCCAAAUUAUAUGACUUUGUUGUGUAGAUAUUAUUUCUAUUUUUCUUGACUUUAUUAACCUGGAAAAUUAUGUAAUAAUAUUACACUGUAUGAUAGUUUUAGUUUUAAACACUUAUUUACCAAUUUCUUUGCACAUCAUUCCUUCUCGUAUUAAUAGUUAUUUUUUAAAAAAUGUUUUUAAUUGUAGAUGGACACAAUACCUUUAUUUUGUUUUAUUUGUUUUUAUGUGGUAUUGAGGAUUGAACCCAGUGCUUCAUAACUGCGAGGCAAGCACUCUACCACUGAGCCACAGCCCUAGCCCAGGAGUUAUUUUUUCUUUAGUGGUAAACUCCAGAUAUUUUGUCUAAAAAUGUCUUGAAUCAGGUAAAUCGGUUCAAAUCCUAGUUUCACCACUCUUUAGUCAUAUGCUCUAAGAUAUAUACCUUAACUUCUGCAAUCACUGGUUUAUUUAUCUCUGAAACUGGGAUAAUUUUAUAGCACUGUCAUCCUCUACUGAGAGAGACAAGUCUGCGGAUGUGGUGGAGGAAGAUGCAGUGAGAAGGUCCUGAGGCAAUAAGUUCUCUCCAAAAUUUGUAAUGUUUUGAACAACCCACAAUAAAAAAUUAAAAAUAUAUAAAAAAAAAUAAGUUCUCUCCAAGGGUGCCAAGAUUCAAAUUGUAAUGAAAAUAAAUAAAUAAAUAAAUCAUAAAAAACCCCCAAAUGUAUAAAGCAAACAUACUCUGUAAUCACUUCUCUGAAUGUCUGAGAACUGUAGGGAAAACAAAGUUAACACAUAUUGAAUUACCUAGUAACAUUCUUGUAUAUUUGAGGGUUAAAGUGUGUAUUUUGAAUCAGCAUUUUCAAGCCCAGUGAAAUGGCUGGCUUGUAGGGGCUUAUGAAGACGACUUUACAGAAGAGAAUGCCUGCCUGGAUGUCAGCAACUUGUUAGCCAACUCCAACAGUCAAGUCUCAUCAGAAAAAUCCACUGUGAAAACUUUAGGAACUUCUGACUAUGAAUUGUAAUUAUAUGACAAGUAAUUCCAGGGCCAAAGAAUGUUUUGGAUUUGUAUGAAAAUUAAAAUAACCACUAUUCUAAGCUAUGCUGCCUUUAAUUCUGUACAAUGAUUAAAUCUAAAGUAACUUUCAAUUAUAUUGAGCUUUAUAUAUCUAUAUAAAUUUUUAAGGUAGCUAAUUUUUUUAAUAUUGCACAGCUAUUAGUUUGCAUGGACUAGAUCCUUUCUCAGAUUAUCUUGUUUCAUGCUCUCCAUAUAUUUCUAUGCUACAGAGGAGAAAGUAAACAUUUAAAUCACUUGCUCAAAACCUAAAUUUCUAGAUUAAUACUUUAUUUUGAAAAACCAUCUUUCCCACUAUAUUUUAAAUUAACAUUAAGAAAUUGGUUUGUUACAACAGAAUAAAUGAUAAUCUUUUAAAACUAAGCAGUAAAUUCCUAUUAAAAACUGUAUAGGGCUGGGGAUGUGGCUCAAGUGGUAGUGUGCUCACCUGGCAUGCAUGCGGCCUGGGUUUGAUCUUCAGCAUCACAUACAAAUAAACAUGUUGUGUCCGCUGAAAACUAAAAAAUAAAUAUUAGGGCUGGGGAUGUGGCUCAAGCGGUAGCGCGCUCGCCUGGCAUGCGUGCAGCCUGGGUUCGAUCCUCAGCACCACAUACAAAGAAAGAUGUUGUGUCC